rnacentral:rRNA from 1 species
UACGUAGGGUGCAAGCGUUGUCCGGAAUUAUUGGGCGUAAAGAGCUCGUAGGCGGUCUGUCGCGUCGGAUGUGAAAACUCGGGGCUCAACCCCGGGCCUGCAUUCGAUACGGGCAGACUAGAGUACGGCAGGGGAGACUGGAAUUCCUGGUGUAGCGGUGAAAUGCGCAGAUAUCAGGAGGAACACCGAUGGCGAAGGCAAUCCCCUGGGCCGAUACUGACGCUGAGGAGCGAAAGCGUGGGGAGCGAACAGG